rnacentral:rRNA from 1 species
GACGAACCGUGCGAACGUUGUUCGGAAUCACUGGGCUUAAAGGGCGCGUAGGCGGCUUGCCAAGUCAGGGGUGAAAUCCUGCAGCUUAACUGUAGAAGGGCCUUUGAUACUGGCGAGCUCGAGGGAGGUAGGGGUAUGUGGAACUUCCGGUGGAGCGGUGAAAUGCGUUGAUAUCGGAAGGAACGCCGGUGGCGAAAGCGAACUGCUGGACCUCUUCUGACACUGAGGCGCGAAAGCUAGGGGAGCAAACGGG